GACGAACGCUGGCGGCGUGCUUAACACAUGCAAGUCGAACGGAAAGGCCCUGCUUUUGUGGGGUGCUCGAGUGGCGAACGGGUGAGUAACACGUGAGUAACCUGCCCUUGACUUUGGGAUAACUUCAGGAAACUGGGGCUAAUACCGGAUAGGAGCUCCUGCUGCAUGGUGGGGGUUGGAAAGUUUCGGCGGUUGGGGAUGGACUCGCGGCUUAUCAGCUUGUUGGUGGGGUAGUGGCUUACCAAGGCUUUGACGGGUAGCCGGCCUGAGAGGGUGACCGGCCACAGUGGGACUGAGAUACGGCCCAGACUCCUACGGGAGGCAGCAGUGGGGAAUAUUGCACAAUGGGCGGAAGACUGAUGCAGCAACGCCGCGUGCGGGAUGACGGCCUUCGGGUUGUAAACCGCUUUCGCCUGUGACGAAGCGUGAGUGACGGUAAGGAGUAAAGAAGCACCGGCUAACUACG
rnacentral:rRNA from 1 species